rnacentral:rRNA from 1 species
GAUCAAGCAAGGAAGGGCGUACGGAGGAUGCCUUGCCACUCUUGAAUGAUGAAGGACGCAUCAGACUGCGAAAAGCCGUGGGGAGCUGUCAGGAAAGCGACGAUCCAUGGAUUUCCGAAUGGGGGAACCCGGCUGGAGUCAUAUCCAGCCAUCCAUAUUCUUGAUAUGGAGAGCAACCCAGUGAACUGAAACAUCUAAGUAGCUGGAGGAAAAGAAAACAACAGUGAUUUCCUAAGUAGCGGCGAGCGAAAGGGAAUUAGCCCAAACCAUAGAAAUAUGGGGUUGUAGGACCGUAGAAAAUGAAAUGCGAGCGAACAGGAACGUGAUGGAAAGCACGGACGCAGAAGGUGAAAUCCCUGUACUGGCAAGCAAGCAGAGUAGUGAACGGAAUCCUGAGUACGACGGGACACGAGAAAUCCUGUCGGAAGCAGGCGGGACCAUCCGCCAAGGCUGAAUAAGUAAGAGUGAGCGACAGUGAAGAAGUACCGUGAGGGAAAGGUGAAAAGAACCG